GAUGAAGAACGCAGCGAAAUGCGAUAAGUAAUGUGAAUUGCAGAAUUCAGUGAAUCAUCGAAUCUUUGAACGCACAUUGCGCUCGCCAGUAUUCUGGCGGGCAUGCCUGUUCGAGCGUCAUUUCAACCGUCAAGCCCCCGGCUUGUGUUGGGGACCUGCGGCUGCCGCAGGCCCUGAAAACCAGUGGCGGGCUCGCUGUCACACCGAGCGUAGUAGAUUUUCAUCUCGCUCAGGGCGUGCUGCGGGUUCCGGCCGUAAAAAGCCUUAUUUACCCAAGGUUGACCUCGGAUCAGGUAGGAAGACCCGCUGAACUUAAGCAUAUCAAUAAGCGGAGGA
rnacentral:misc_RNA from 1 species